UCCGUAGGGUGAACCUGCGGAGGGAUCAUUACCGAGUUAUCCAACUCCCAACCCCUGUGAAUUAUACCUUUAAUUGUUGCUUCGGCGGGACUUCGCGCCCGCCGGGGACCCAAACCUUCUGAAUUUUUUUAAUAAGUAUCUUCUGAGUGGUUUAAAAAAAAAUGAAUCAAAACUUUCAACAACGGAUCUCUUGGUUCUGGCAUCGAUGAAGAACGCAGCGAAAUGCGAUAAGUAAUGUGAAUUGCAGAAUUCAGUGAAUCAUCGAAUCUUUGAACGCACAUUGCGCCCGUCAGUAUUCUGGCGGGCAUGCCUGUUCGAGCGUCAUUACGCCCCUCAAGUCCCCUGUGGACUUGGUGUUGGGGAUCGGCGAGGCUGGUUUUCCAGCACAGCCGUCCCUUAAAUUAAUUGGCGGUCUCGCCGUGGCCCUCCUCUGCGCAGUAGUAAAGCACUCGCAACAGGAGCCCGGCGCGGUCCACUGCCGUAAAACCCCCCAACUUUUUAUAGUUGACCUCGAAUCAGGUAGGACUACCCGCUGAACUUAAGCAUAUCAAUAAGCGGAGGA
rnacentral:rRNA from 1 species